CAAAAAGAUUAUAUUUUUAAAACACUUUUUUUUAAAUUUUAAAAAAAAAAUUACAAAUUUUAUAAAAUAAAGAACAGAACACCUUUUAUUGUUGAAACUUUGAUGUAAUUAUCUUUGACAUGUUAAUUAUUCGCACCAUUUAAAGGCACCAAGAAAUUUAGUAGCCAUGGCGCAGUGGUUUAGCAGUUGUGGCGCAGUGGUUUGAGCAUUGGACUCUUGAUCCAAGGUUUGCGGGUUCGAUCUCAGCUCGAAGCAAAUAAACGUUAUCGGUAAAGGUGGAAAUAGAAAGUUAUCUUAAUAAAUGCUAUUCUUCAUGUGGCGGUUCUCUGUGACAAGACCAUUAGGACUUCUUAGAGCACCUUAAUAACUAAAAACAAAAGUUUUAAGAUUUAAUAGGAGUGUACCUUACCACUUUUUAUUCGGCUAAUUUUUAUUUUU